CUUAUUGUUCUAUAAGUUGCCUAUAAUCGAAUCUUAGAAUAGUGUGCACUGAAUGGGAUUAUAUCGAUUUUGUGUAACGGUUGGCAUCAUACGUUUACGAAUGUAGUGACUUCCUCACUUGAUGAAAAUCUCUGUCCUCCAAAUAAAACCAUGACCUUAGGAAAGGAAAGGAGUCCCUGGAAGCCGCAUCUGAUGAAUACGGCAGCUUUGGAACUUUCGGAACACGAAUAUGGUGUUCCGGGCAUGAGCAGUUGUAUCCACCCCGCGUGUUGCGGCAUACGCCCG